rnacentral:rRNA from 1 species
GUGUCAGCCGCCGCGGUAAUACGUAGGGGGCGAGCGUUGUCCGGAGUUACUGGGCGUAAAGGGCACGCAGGCGGUCACGCGCGUCUGCCAUGACAGCUCCCGGCUCAACCGGGAGAGGCUGGUGGAAACGGCGCGACUUGAGGACUUCAGAGGGACACGGAAUUCCGGGUGGAGUGGUGAAAUGCGUAGAGAUCCGGAGGAACACCAAAGGCGAAGGCAGUGUCCUGGGAAGUACCUGACGCUCAGGUGCGAAAGCCAGGGGAGCGAACGGGAUUAGAAACCCCUGUAGUCC